AGUGAACGCUGGCGGUAGGCCUAACACAUGCAAGUCGAACGGCAGCACAGUAAGAGCUUGCUCUUACGGGUGGCGAGUGGCGGACGGGUGAGGAAUACAUCGGAAUCUACUUUUUCGUGGGGGAUAACGUAGGGAAACUUACGCUAAUACCGCAUACGACCUGCGGGUGAAAGCAGGGGAUCUUCGGACCUUGCGCGAUUGAAUGAGCCGAUGUCGGAUUAGCUAGUUGGCGGGGUAAAGGCCCACCAAGGCGACGAUCCGUAGCUGGUCUGAGAGGAUGAGAAGACAAAAGGGAACAGAGACACGGUCCAGACGCCUACGGGGGGCAGAAGGGGGGAAAAUGGGAAAAGGGGGGAAAGCCUGAUCCAACCAUACCGGGGGGGUGAAGAAGGCCUUGGGGUUGAAAAGCCCUUUUGUUGGGAAAGAAAAGUAGCAGGUUAAUACCCCGCUGUUCUGACGGUACCCAAAAAAAAAGCACCGGCUAACUUCGU
rnacentral:rRNA from 1 species